AGAUUAAGUUAUUAAGGGCGCACGGUGGAUGCCUUGGCACUAGAAGCCGAUGAAGGACGUUACUAACGACGAUAUGCUUUGGGGAGCUGUAAGUAAGCUUUGAUCCAGAGAUUUCCGAAUGGGGAAACCCAGCA
rnacentral:rRNA from 1 species